AAAGCCUAAAUUCAAUUUUAAAGCAGAAAUCACUUUAAAAAAAAUGAACUAAUUCUUUUAAAAAAAUAGUUUUAAAUUGUUUUUAAGCCUAAAUUCAAUAUUGAAAUGGCAGUCCAGUUUGGGGCUUAAAUCAAUUUACAUCCCAUUUUCUUAUUUAAGCCCUUUUUUAUAAAAAUGUUAAGACCACUUCGUUUAUGUCCAAUUCACAAUUUUGAUCCAAGUCCAUUUCAGAUUUCAGAGCUUAAACGCCAUAUCAUUUUCAUGAUGCAGAAUUAGGGUAGAAACCCUUGUAGCUUGGCAGCCAGUGUGAACUGUGAACACAUGAAAGGAAGAUCACAUUUUUCAGCCAUUUCAUCUUUAACAGAAUCAGUUAAAACAACAAACGAAUUGCCAAAGAUUUCUACAGAAAAAACAAAUCGAAGCCAGAUUAAUCCACUAAUAAAAUUCAUCAUUAAGAGUUCAUAACAAUUAGAGGAACAAUAUUUAUUCAUGAAAAGAAAAAAAAAAUAGAAAGAAGUCAGUGGUCAGUCAGCAGCAUAAUAUAGUCAACAGUCAGUGAGUCAAAAACAAAGAGAAAAAUCGAAAAAAAAGCACAUACCCUUUUCAUCUUUUUUGGAAAGUAAACCUUUCAUUUUUCUAGAUCCUUUCUUUUUUUUUUUUUUUUGGUUUCAUGCACGACUAAAAGGAAAGGAGGUAGCUUCACCACACCGACGGCCCUCAGCCACCACGUAGAGCACAUCCCCUAGUUUCAAAAACACACUAAAAAAAGAGAAGGUUUUUUUCUUUAAAAAAACAGAAGCUUUUCUUAGUUUCCUAAUUUUGUGGGAUGAAAACGACAUCAUCAAUUUGAAAUCCAAACGUGAUAACCAAAGCAUUCAAGAUCUGGUUUCCAGAUCUGGAAAGAUAAAAAAGAAGAGAAAAAGUAAUAACUUCUAUUUUAGCUUUCAAAGUACUAAAAAAGGACAAAAACAAAAAAGAGAGUUUUUCCUACCACUGCGUACGGUGUUCUGCUACCGGAAAUCAAAGACCUUUCGGAUCUCCGGCGCCAGAACCGUCCAAGAAAAUUUGAGAAGGGCAAAGGAAGAAAUAGAGAAAAUAAAAAGAAAUAAAGACAAUGGUUUUUU
rnacentral:lncRNA from 1 species